rnacentral:lncRNA from 1 species
CCUUGGAUGAAUUAGCAAGCAAGAAGAGUCAGUCUGAGGCUCCUCACUGUGACGGACUGAGGAGCUUUAUUUACUCCCUGCGGAUAGUGGCCUGCCACCAGAGAGGCCACAGGCCGGAGUGAUGGAGCUGACUCAUAGGGUAAGGAGAAAGUGGCCUGGAUCGUUGACAGAGGUGGCGUAUAUUUGAGCAUGGAUCUAAAUGAGGUGAAGGAUUGAGAUGGCUGCUUGGGGAAGAACUUUCCAGGCAUGAAUGAAUGCCUGAAUUGAGCAUCUCCACUUCCUGAUAUGAGAGAAGAGACGUAACAAAGAUUCCUCCAGAACCAAAAGGAUCCGAGAUAAGGCUAACUUGAUUAACGUGCUUAAUGUGAAUGCCACACCUUGGGUUUCCCAGGAAGAAGACUCUCAGAUGAAGACCAGUGUUUAGGAAGCUUAUUAGGAAUGCUUGCGGGAUCAACACCUGCUGGGGAAGAAAGGCAGCAAGAUUGGGCAGAGGACAGAGUUGGGCUAUGGUGCAGUCUCAGUGGAGGUUUCCAUCGGCCAUCGGGAGUUCUGAAGCUGGGCUGGCCCUUCGGGGUGGUCCCAAGUUGGGGGCUGGAUCUUUAUGCCUCGCCUUAGUCCAUCAUUAGAUGUUGGCCAUCCCAGGAAGGAGUAUGACCUUGGGUGAGGUGGCUCCCCUCUGCCACAGUAGUCCUUGGCAGCUGAGGGCUACUUAAAUGAUUUCAACUUCUUCCUUUUGUUCCCCCAGCACCAGGAGUGAUGGUUCCUCAGCAGUGGAGGGAGGGAGUCCUUCCUUCCUGAAGGGGAUCUGGGUGGGCCAGUUCACUGUUCAUCACCGUGAGACAAGGCUCACUGUGGUUCCAGCUCCCAUAAAGGAAUCUCUCAGUCCCUGGCUCUGGCCACACCACUGUGGUAGAUGUGAGGUACUCAGGUCCUCUUUAAGGAAGGACUUGCUGCCCAACGGCAGGUGCUGCAGCCAGCAUCCAGCUGUCAGCCCCUACAGGGUCAGCCUUACUUGCAGAGAACCACCUUGCUCGAGGUCAUGCCCUUCCUGAAGCAGCUGGCAUCCGAUGUUGACCCCUCAUGAACACCUUGCACUCCAGUAUAUUUCUAAGUGCUUCUGAGAGCCCGGCCUGCAACACCACUUCUCCCCUCUGCCUCCAGCCUAGAGAUGGGAAUGGCUUCCUGCUGGUGCUAAUCUCUAGGUGGCCUCACCAUGUCCCAUUUGGACACUCUGCUCUUGCAUCAUCCAUGUAAUCAAUUAACUGCAUUAAAUCCCCAUCUCUUUAAAUAAAGUAGGUUCUGACACAGCCAACAUUAUACUGAAUGGGGAAAAGUUGAAAGCGUUCCUCCUGAGAACUGGAACAAGACAAGGAUGUUCACUUUCACCACUUCUAUUCAACAUAGUACUGGAAGUCCUAGCCAGAGCAAUCAGACAAGAGAAGGCAAUAAAGGACAUCCAAAAAAGUAAAGAGGAAGUCAAACUGUCACUGUUUGCUGAUGAUAUGAUUGUAUACCUAGAAAACCCUAAGAACUUAUCCAAAAAGCUCCUAGAACUGAUUAAUGAAUUCAGUAAAGUUUCAGGAUACAGAAUUAAUGUACACAAGUCAGUAGCACUGCUGUACACCAACAGUAACCAAGCUGAGAAUCAAAUCAAGAACUCAGCCUCUUUUACAAUAGCUGCAAAAAAUAAAAUAAAAUACUGAGGAAUAUACCUGUUACCAAGGAGGUGAAAGACCUCUACAAUGAAAACUAUAAAACACUGCUGAAAGAAAUCAUAGAUGACACAAACAAAUGGAAACACAUCUCAUGCUCAUGGAUGGGUAGAAUCAAUAUCGUGAAAAUGACCAUACUGCGAAAAGCAAUCUACAAAUUCAGUGCAAUUCCCAUCACAGUAUCACCAACAUUCUUCACAAAGCUGGAAAAAGCAAUCCUAAAAUUCAUAUGGAAUGAAAAAAGAGCCCGCAUAGCCAAAGCAAUACUAAGCAAAAAGAACAAAUCUAGAGGCGUCACAUUACCCAACUUCGAACUAUACUAUAAGGCCAUAGUCACCAAAACAGCAUGGUACUGGUAUAAAAUAGGUACAUAAACCAAUGGAACAGAAUAGAGAACCCAGAAAUAAAGCUGGAUACUUAUAGCUAACGAGUCUUCAACAAAGCAAACAAAAUAAAGUGGGGAAAGGACACCCCAUUCAACAAAUGGUGCUGGGAUAAUUGUCAAGCCACAUGUAGAAAAAAUGAAACUGGAUCCUCAUCUCUCAUUUUAUACAAAAAUCAACUCAAGAUGGAUCAAAGACUUAAGUCUAAGACCUGAAACCAUAAAAAUUCUAGAAGAUAACAUUGGAAAAACCCUUCUAGACAUUGGCAUAGGCAAAGACUUCACGACCAAGAACCCAAAAGAAAAUGCAACAGAAACAAAGAUAGAUAGGUAGGACUUAAUUAAACUAAAUUACUUCUACACAGCAAAAGAAAUUAUCAGUAUAGACCACCCACAGAAUAGGAGAAAAUCUUUGCAAUCUAUACAUCUGACAAAGGAUUAAUAUCCAGAAUCUACAAGGAACUCAGAUCAGCAAGAAAAAAACAAAGAAUCCCAUCAAAAAAUGGGCUAAGGACAUGAAUAAACAAUUCUCAAAAGAUGUACAAAGGGCCAACAAACAUAUGAAAAAAUAUUCAACAUCACUAAUUAUCAGGGAAAUGCAAAUCAAAACCACAAUGAGAUGCUACCUCACUCCUGCAAGAAUGGCCAUAAUCAAAGAUCAAAAAUAAUAGAUGUUGGCAUGGAUGUGAAGAAAAGGGAACACUUUUACACUGCUGGUGGGAAUGUAAACUAGUACAACCACCAUGGAAAACAGUGUGGAGAUUCCUUAAAGAACUAAAAAUAGAUGUACCAUUUGAUCCAGUGAUCCCACUACUAAGUAUCUACCCAGAGGAAAAGAAGUUAUUAUACUAAAAAGAUACUUGCACAUGGAUGUUUAUAGCAGCACAAUUCGCAAUUGCAAAAAUAUGGAACCAGCCCAAAUGCCCAUCAAUCAAUGAGUGGAUAAAGAAAAUGUGAGGGAUAAAAGACUACACAUUGGGUACAGUGUAUACUGCUUGUGUGAAGGGUGCACCAAAAUCCCAGAAGUCACCACUAAAGGACUUAUUCAUGUAACCAAACACCACCUGUUCCCCAAAAACCUAUUGAAAUGGAAAAUAAAUAAAGUAGGUUCUGUUUUCCUGGCUAGACACUGCCUGAUAUAGUGAGUUUUACAUCUAAACUUCAGUUUAUAUUCUCAUUUCCCUUGCUAAUCUAGUAUUUUAUAAGGGGGCCCUCAACUCAUAAAUAUAUAUUAAUAUAUAUAUGUUUGUGUGUAUAUAUUCCUCAUCUGCAACCAAACGCAGAUCGAAAAUACAGUAUUCCUGGAAUGUGACACCCACGUGUAUCAAGGGCCGAC